rnacentral:rRNA from 1 species
CAAUAGCGUAUAUUAAAGUUGUUGCAGUUAAAAAGCUCGUAGUUGAAUUUCUGUCAGGAGCGGCCGGGCCUUUGGAUGAACUUCCAUUGUUUUUUGCUCUGUUUGUCGUCUCUAGACAUCCUGAAAUAUUUUUUACAAAUAUUUCUCUUUUACUGUUAGCAAAAUAGAGUGUUCCAAGCAAAGCGUAGUUUUGAAUACAUUAGAAUGGAAUAAUAAGAUAUGACUUUGGUGGUCUAUUUUGUUGGUUUGCACACCAGAGUAAUGAUUAAUAGGGACAGUUGGGGGUAUUCAUAUUUCAACGUCAGAGGUGAAAUUCUUAGAUCGUUGAAAGAUGACCUUAGGCGAAAGCAUUUACCAUGGAUGUUUUCAUUAA